rnacentral:rRNA from 1 species
GAUGAAGAGCUUCGGCUCUGAAUAUCUAUGGCUAGAUAAAGUACAAGUCGUAACAAGGUUUCAGUUGGAGA